rnacentral:rRNA from 1 species
AUGUGUGUUCCAAAAGAUCAAGGAUAUAUGGGCUUUAGAGAUAUAAAUUGUUUUAAUCUGGCAUUGUUAGCUAAACAAGGUUGCCGUCUUUUGGAUAAUCCUGAUUCCUUAUGUGCAAAAAUCUUCAGAGCCAAGUAUUUCCCUGAGGGUGCUUUGAUGAAUGCAAAUUUAAGAAAGGGUCCUCUUUUACUUGGCAAACAUUAUGCCGGGAGUCAACUCUCUCAGAAAAGGUUAUAUAUGGCGAGUUAG